GAUGAACGCUGGCGGCGUGCCUAAUACAUGCAAGUCGAACGCAUAGCGAAAGGUGCUUGCCCCUUUCAAGUGAGCGGCGAACGGGUGAGUAACACGUGGACAACCUGCCUCAAGGCUGGGGAUAACAUUUGGAAACAGAUGCUAAUACCGAAUAAAACUUAGUGUCGCAUGACACAAAGUUAAAAGGCGCUUCGGCGUCACCUAGAGAUGGAUCCGCGGUGCAUUAGUUAGUUGGUGGGGUAAAGGCCUACCAAGACAAUGAUGCAUAGCCGAGUUGAGAGACUGAUCGGCCACAUUGGGACUGGAACACGGCCCAAACUCCUACGGGAGGCUGCAGUAGGGAAUCUUCCACAAUGGGCGAAAGCCUGAUGGAGCGACGCCGCGUGUGUGAUGAAGGCUUUCGGGUCGUAAAGCACUGUUGUAUGGGAAGAACAGCUAGAAUAGGAAAUGAUUUUAGUUUGACGGUACCAUACCAGAAAGGGACGGCUAAAUACGUG
rnacentral:rRNA from 1 species